CAACUCUCAACAACGGAUAUCUUGGCUCCCGUAACGAUGAAGAACGCAGCGAAAUGCGAUACGUAUGUGAAUUGCAGAAUUCCGUGAACCAUCGAAUCUUUGAACGCAAAUUGCGCUCGAGGCCUCGGCCUAGAGCAUGUCUGCCUCAGCGUC
rnacentral:rRNA from 1 species